CUCAUAUUAUUGUUCUACAAAGGAUAUACUGUAGUGGGAAUUUAUUGCGUCAAUAGAUGGCAAGGUGAUAACUAUGGAGUCAGAUCAAUAGACGUACAGAAAAACUGGAGGAAAAUGUUACUGAGAUUUGAAGUUUAAUGGUUACGCAGACGAUUUCUCAUGGUGCCCUCGGUGUCG
rnacentral:lncRNA from 1 species